UUUGACCUGAAAUCAGGUAGGGCUACCCGCUGAACUUAAGCAUAUCAAUAAGCGGAGGAAAAGAAACUAACAAGGAUUCCCCUAGUAACGGCGAGUGAACCGGGAAGAGCUCAAAUUUGAAAUCUGGCGUGCUCAGUGCGUCCGAAUUGUAAUCUAUAGAGUCGUUUUCCGUGCCGGACUGUGUCCAAGUCCCUUGGGACAGGGUGUCAAAGAGGGUGAUAAUCCCGUACUUGA
rnacentral:rRNA from 1 species